GACUUAAAAAAUCCGUUGGUUUUUUAGAACUGUGAGG
rnacentral:tRNA from 1 species